CCUACGGGGGGCAGCAGUGGGGAAUAUUGGACAAUGGGCGAAAGCCUGAUCCAGCCAUGCCGCGUGUGUGAAGAAGGCCUUCGGGUUGUAAAGCACUUUCAGUGGGGAAGAAAGCCUUGGGGCUAAUACCCUCGAGGAAGGACAGCACCCACAGAAGAAGCACCGGCUAACUCCGUGCCAGCAGCCGCGGUAAUACGGAGGGUGCGAGCGUUAAUCGGAAUUACUGGGCGUAAAGCGAGCGUAGGCGGUCUGAUAAGCCGGUUGUGAAAGCCCCGGGCUCAACCUGGGAACGGCAUCCGGAACUGUCAGGCUAGAGUGCAGGAGAGGAAGGUAGAAUUCCCGGUGUAGCGGUGAAAUGCGUAGAGAUCGGGAGGAAUACCAGUGGCGAAGGCGGCCUUCUGGACUGACACUGACGCUGAGGUUCGAAAGCGUGGGUAGCAAACAGGAUUAGAUACCCCGGUAGUC
rnacentral:rRNA from 1 species